rnacentral:rRNA from 1 species
CCUACGGGGGGCAGCAGUGGGGGAUAUUGGACAAUGGGGGCAACCCUGAUCCAGCCAUGCCGCGUGUGUGAAGAAGGCCCUCGGGUUGUAAAGCACUUUCAGUGAGGAAGAACGCCUGGUGGUUAAUACCCAUCAGGAAAGACAUCACUCACAGAAGAAGCACCGGCUAACUCCGUGCCAGCAGCCGCGGUAAUACGGAGGGUGCGAGCGUUAAUCGGAAUUACUGGGCGUAAAGCGCGCGUAGGUGGCUUGAUAAGCCGGUUGUGAAAGCCCCGGGCUCAACCUGGGAACGGCAUCCGGAACUGUCAAGCUAGAGUGCAGGAGAGGAAGGUAGAAUUCCCGGUGUAGCGGUGAAAUGCGUAGAGAUCGGGAGGAAUACCAGUGGCGAAGGCGGCCUUCUGGACUGACACUGACACUGAGGUGCGAAAGCGUGGGUAGCAAACAGGAUUAGAUACCCGAGUAGUC